rnacentral:tRNA from 1 species
AGACAGGUGGAGCAGUGGUAGCUCGUUGGGCUCAUAACCCAAAGUUCACAGGUUCAAAUCCUGUCCCCGCAACCA